AAGGAUCAUUCAUAAUAAGUGUUUUACUGCACUUUUUAAACAAGUACUCACCUUGUGUGCAAUGUUUGCUGUCGAGUCGUUCACGCGUCGCGACAGUACAAAUACCAACCCUUUAUUGUAAAUUUUUUGUCUGAAGCUAUUUCGAAUAUAUAAUUCUAAAUACAACUUUCAACAACGGAUCUCUUGGCUCUC
rnacentral:misc_RNA from 1 species